rnacentral:rRNA from 1 species
GACGUAGGGCGCGAGCGUUGUCCGGAUUUAUUGGGCGUAAAGAGCGUGUAGGCGGCUUUGCAAGUCCGUUGUGAAAACUCGAGCUCAACCUCGAGACGCCGGUGGAAACUGCAAAGCUAGAGUCCGGAAGAGGAGAGUGGAAUUCCUGGUGUAGCGGUGAAAUGCGCAGAUAUCAGGAAGAACACCCGUGGCGAAGGCGGCUCUCUGGGACGGUACUGACGCUGAGACGCGAAAGCGUGGGGAGCGAACAGG